CUCAACCUCUUCGAGCCGUUGAAACUGGUUUUCUUGAGUGAGCGAGAAGUAUGCGGAAUGCGUGGUGUAGCGGUGAAAUGCAUAGAUAUCACGCAGAACUCCGAUUGCGAAGGCAGCAUACCGGCGCUCAACUGACGCUCAUGCACGAAAGUGUGGGUAUCGAACAGGAUUAGAUACCCUGGUAGUCCACACAGUAAACGAUGAAUACUAAUUGUUCGGGGAGAAUGAUCCCUGAGUGAUACAGCGAAAGCGUUAAGUAUUCCACCUGGGGAGUACGCCGGCAACGGUGAAACUCAAAGGAAUUGACGGGGGCCCGCACAAGCGGAGGAACAUGUGGUUUAAUUCGAUGAUACGCGAGGAACCUUACCCGGGCUCAAACGACACAGGAAUACUUUUGAAAGGAGGUAGCUCUACGGAGUCUGUGUCGAGGUGCUGCAUGGUUGUCGUCAGCUCGUGCCGUGAGGUGUCGGCUUAAGUGCCAUAACGAGCGCAACCCCCAUCGCCAGUUACCAGCAAGUCAAGUUGGGGACUCUGGCGAGACUGCCGGCGCAAGCUGUGAGGAAGGCGGGGAUGACGUCAAAUCAGCACGGCCCUUACGUCCGGGGCGACACACGUGUUACAAUGGCAGGUACAGAGAGAAGCAAUGCGGCGACGCAAAGCGGAACUUGAAAGCCUGUCUCAGUUCGGAUUGGAGUCUGCAACUCGACUCCAUGAAGCUGGAUUCGCUAGUAAUCGCGCAUCAGCCAUGGCGCGGUGAAUACGUUCCCGGGCCUUGUACACACCGCCCGUCAAGCCAUGGAAGCCGGGAGUGCCUGAAGUGUGCAACCGCAAGGAGCGCCCUAAGGUAAAACUGGUGACUGGGGCUAAGUCGUAACAAGGUAACCGUAA
rnacentral:rRNA from 1 species